GCCGGGCGCGGUGGCGCGUCCCUGUAACCCAAGUCCCCGGAAGCUGAGGUUGGCGUUCUAUGUCGAACGGGUAUCCGCACUAAAUUCAGUGUCGAUAUAGUACUCAUGGGGUAGCCCGGGCCCACCAGAUCGUCUACGGUGGGCUGCACUGGCCCAGGUCGGAAAAGAAGCAGCUCAAAUCCCAGGGUCCGUCCAGUAGUGGGAUAGCGCCUGUGAGUAGACUCUGCAGUGCAUCCUU
rnacentral:SRP_RNA from 13 species